rnacentral:rRNA from 1 species
CACGUAGUUAGCCGUGGCUUCCUCCUCGGGUACCGUCAUUUUUUCGUCCCCGAAGACAGAGGUUUACAAUCCGAAAACCUUCAUCCCUCACGCGGCGUCGCUGGGUCAGGGUUUCCCCCAUUGCCCAAUAUUCCCCACUGCUGCCUCCCGUAGGAGUCUGGGCCGUGUCUCAGUCCCAAUGUGGCCGUUCAACCUCUCAGUCCGGCUACUGAUCGUCGCCUUGGUGUGCCGUUACCACUCCAACUAGCUAAUCAGGCGCGAGCCCAUCUUUCAGCGGAUUACUCCUUUGGUCAUGAUGCGAUGCCACAUCUCGACUUUAUGCGGUAUUAGCGUCCUUUUCAGGACGUUAUCCCCCUCUAAAAGGCAGGUUGCUCACGUGUUACUCACCCGUCCGCCACUAACUCGGAAGUGCAAGCACUUCCUCGUCCGUUCGACUUGCAUGUGUUAGGCGCGCCGCCAGCGUUCGUCCUGAGCCAGGAUCAAACUCU